CGCGUAGGCGGUCUGCUAAGUUCCGUGUGAAAUCCCUCGGCUCAACUGGGGGAACGGCACGGAAAACUGGAAGGCUUGAGUUCGGGAGAGGGAAGCGGAAUUCCGGGUGUAGCGGUGAAACGCGUAGAUAUCCGGAGGAACACCGGUGGCGAAGGCGGCUUCCUGGACCGACACUGACGCUGAGGCGCGAAAGCUAGGGGAGCAAACG
rnacentral:rRNA from 1 species